UACGUAGGGUCCGAGCGUUGUCCGGAAUUAUUGGGCGUAAAGAGCUCGUAGGCGGUGUGUCACGUCGGCCGUGAAAACUUGCAGCUUAACUGUGGGCGUGCGGUCGAUACGGGCAUCACUGGAGUUCGGCAGGGGAGACUGGAAUUCCUGGUGUAGCGGUGAAAUGCGCAGAUAUCAGGAGGAACACCGGUGGCGAAGGCGGGUCUCUGGGCCGAUACUGACGCUGAGGAGCGAAAGCGUGGGGAGCGAACGGG
rnacentral:rRNA from 1 species